rnacentral:tRNA from 1 species
GGGGUUGUGGCUCAGUGGUAAAGUGCUCGCCUAGUAUGUGUGAGUCCCUGGGUUCGGUUCUCAGCCCCCA